GGAACGUCGAGUGGCAGUCGUGUGUCGAUUGUUGAGCGGCGGUCGCACAUAUGUGAAAAAUAAAUAUCUUAAUUUUAAUUGAAUUAAGACAAUAACAACAACGAUUUCUGGGACUCGGUUGCCUUGCCAUAUGUGACACACAGCACACACAUGCGCCCGUAAAGUCAGAACUCUGUUUCAGCGCGAAUGCGGGUGCACAACAGUGAAAUUUCGCAGCGACAAGUGGAAAAGAAAACGGAGAAAGGUAGCACAAGAGCCAAACGAAAAUCCUGGUCAUGUCGUUGGAAUUCGAGAUCAGCAGCUCUUGCAACCACAACAACAACACAAACACGUAUGGCCAUGCGAACAACAACUGCAUCAUGCUGAAGUUAUUGCCCGCUUCCUCCGCACCCGCCUUCCCUCAGCUGAUCCAGGCCAGCUGUUCCAAUGUCGUGGAGUUGGAUUCACCAGAUAGCAGUGCGGGGACAGCAAACAUAUCCGAAGCUCCCUCCGCCGCCCAGCGUACACCGGACACGUCGGAGGACAGCGAAUGUGACUCGUUUCUCGCCACUCGGAGAGCUACCCGCUCCUCCUCUGUGCUACGCAACCGGAAGCGCAACUCGUGGUGGGGACGAGCCCACAGCAUUCUUUUCCACAACUGGUAUCUGGGCUGCCUGGUGCCCGCCUCCAUUCUGGGGGUUCUCAUCUUUAUCGGAUGGACGACGCGGGACUACGCCCGCCAAUUGCUCUUCUGGAUCGAAAUGCAGAACGCCUGGAUAACAUUUGCCGUCUACAUGGGACUCUUUGCUCUGGUCAGCUUCCCCGUGGUGGUGGGAUACUUCGUACUGCUCAUCACCGCCGGCUAUCUAUUCGGCUGCCUGCGCGGUUGGGUCACCGUGAUUCUGGGUGCCAAUCUCGGCAUCGCCGUGGCACAUGCCACCAUUCGCGGCUGCCGGCACCGCAUUCCCGUGCAAAGAUCAGUUCCAUUAAUACAAGAGACUACCAUGUGGCCACGCUGAUUGGGUUGCUGCCAGCCCAAACCAUCAAUGUUUACUUGGGUUCCACGCUGAGGUCUAUGCACGAAGUGCUUAGCGAUAACGAAACCAAACUGACGGGAUAUAUCAGCUUUGUGUUUGAGGUAAUUUGUGGCGUGGCCUUGAUGUUCUGGGUAUUGCAGAAGGCAAGGAAGGAGCUGUCUGAGACGCUGCUUAACGCUGAUUACAACAACGAGGGCAAGCAUCCUGACGUACAAGUU
rnacentral:misc_RNA from 1 species